UGUCAUCGCUUACCAUCAUCUGUGCAUAAACAAGCAUUUAACUCCUGGAACAGGCGAAAUUUCUGGGUUUCCUCUGGGAACGGGUGAAUCCACGCUUGCUGUGGCAGUGUUAACAUAUCUUGCUACUUACCUUUUG